rnacentral:rRNA from 1 species
UACGAAGGGGGCUAGCGUUGUUCGGAAUCACUGGGCGUAAAGGGCGCGUAGGCGGCUUUAUAAGUCGGGGGUGAAAGCCUGUGGCUCAACCACAGAAUUGCCUUCGAUACUGUAGAGCUUGAGACCGGAAGAGGUAAGUGGAACUGCGAGUGUAGAGGUGAAAUUCGUAGAUAUUCGCAAGAACACCAGUGGCGAAGGCGGCUUACUGGUCCGGCUCUGACGCUGAGGCGCGAAAGCGUGGGGAGCAAACAGG